rnacentral:misc_RNA from 1 species
GUUUCUUCAGCGGCCUUAGCAGCUUUUCGUGAUUCGGAUAUUCUUUUUGCUGCAGCAAGAACCUCUGCAUCCCUACGCUCCUGAUGCUUUGUUUGUGAGAGCACCAUCGACAGUGCACGUUUUCGCUCAACCUCUUGUGAAGCAUUGUAAGGCUUAACAAGGGGAUGUCCAGCAACAUCGGCAGGAGAUGGAGCCCUAGCAAUUGUAAUAGCACGAGACACACUGUAAUAACGGUCCUUCAAUUCCUCAAUUGUACGAUUUGAAGGGAACCUAUCAGCUAUGAUAACAAAACGGAGAUCAAACCUCUUGCACAGGUCAAAUAAUUGAUCCGUCUCUUCCUUCGUCCAUGAAGGAUUGGACAAGAACUUCUCAUACUCCUCAUCUGUGUACUCGAUCACAUCCACCGACUUAUUAUACUUUGCAAACGAAUAGUCACCUGUAGGCGGAACACCAUUAACA